GCUCUCGUAGUUUAAAUGGAUAAAACAAUUCUCUCCUAAAGAAUAGCUCUGGGUUCGAUUCCCAGCGAGAGCACCA
rnacentral:tRNA from 1 species